CGGGCGGAGAAGAGGACUGUCGGAAAGGAGGGCGUGAACUAGAGGCGCGCGUGCGCAGAAGGCACAGAGGCCGUUCCUUGGAUAAGUUGGUACUAUGUCAACUGAAACUGUUAUUGGAAGUGCUAAGAGAAGUGGGUGAACGCAGGUAUACCUACUGGAAAGCUAUUGUAACUUUGUAGACAUCAGUAAUGAAUGAUUUGGACCAGAAUAAUAGCAAAGGACAUGAAAAUGUGUGGAAGGAUUUCAAAUAUGUAGAGUUUACUGGAUAACUGGAUGCAGAAGGAUCUCAAUGUGCAGCCCUGGCUGGCCUGAAAUUUACUCUGCAGACCCAGCUGGCUUUGACCUCUCAGAGAUCUGCCUCCCUCUUCCUCAGCAGCACAGGGAAACAGAAAAUAAUGAAAAACUGGGAAGCAACUGCUGCUGAAUACUCUCAAAAGGCUUAAAAUCGAGGGCAGCUUUCGUCCGCCCGGCUAGCUCAGUCGGUAGAGCAUGGGACUCUUAAUCCCAGGGUCGUGGGUUCGAGCCCCACGUUGGGCGUUGCGUUUUUGCAUGCUUAAAUUUUAUUAAUGUUUUCAAAACUUCAACUCUCAAAUGUUUGCCAGUUCCGUUAUAACAUUCUUAACUAAUACGGAUUCUUACGCAAAUGAAAUUUAAGUGCUUUCUUAAUCGUCUCUGCAAGAAACACGGUUCUUAAAUGCGCUUGCGCACUCCAAAGCCCAGGCCUACGCCCACGGCUCGGGUUUAAACAAGGAACAAGACUAUUUUUUUAGUGCUAGCGUCCAUAGUUGCUGGUAGGGGGCAGUUGUUCUUUGUUUCUUUUGGGGUUUUUUUUUUUUUUUUUUGGUUUUUUUUUUUCUUCUCUUAAUAAAAAUGUGAUUCCUGAUUUCGGCUGUUUUUCUAAAUCACAAGAGUUCGGAUGUCAAACAGGCGUAGGUGAGGGAGGACACGGAAAGGACUCACUUCCUCAUUUGCUGAGGUUCCUCCGCUUACUUCCGCCUCCCUCCUGUCAGGACUUCUUCGGGGGGCCGGAGGAAGGGCCCCGAGCGUCGUCUUUCCCGCGGUCGGGUGUGCACCGCCAGCACGCAUCAGUUCUCCAGAUGUGGAUCCUUCAGCGCUGCCUCUGAGACUCACUCGCCAGGGAACGGAUGGAUGUGCGAGGGAAGAAGCAGAAGCAGCUCCUUCCCUUCCGCUUUGGCUUCUGAGAAUCGGGGCACCGACCGUCGCGAGAGGCUCCUGGGCGGCCAGGUCCCUCAGUGCCCGGCUCCUUCCUCCAGGCCGGACAGCCUCCCUCGCCUGCUGAGCGCCAGCCUGCUCUCCCUCUCUAAACCGAUCGGAUUUCCUGCCAGUUCCCUUCAGCGUGCCAAGAUUCUGCUGUUUGUCUCAAAGAAACGGAAAACAUCUCCCCCACCCCACCCCCACCUUUCCUCUCUCUGAGACGUGUCUACGUAGUCCUGGAACUUAGAUCAGCCUGGCCUGGAACGCACAGAGGUGCACGCCUGGUUCUCUGGUCUCUUAAGCUCGGGGUAUGCACACCCUGUAAUCCUAGCACUAGAGAGGCUGAGUGAGGCAGAAGGUAGCUUGCUGUUGAGUUGGAAGCCAGCCUGGGCUUAGACUCAAAAAGAAAAAAGAAGGGUAGGGUGGGGAGGGGGUAUAUAAUAUAAUAUGUGACGUUGAGCCAUCUUAUUUCUAUGAUGGGCAGCUGAAAGGAAAAACAAAGUUACAACUGAUAAAUGGGCUUUUGGCAAGAGAGGGCUAUUUGGUGUUUGGGGUUGAACAGCCACUAACUUGCUCUUUGAGAAUGGGGCAGGCUAGAGCGAUCUGGUGUGUCUGAAGACAGCAACAGAUAUAAACAGAGAGAGAGAGAGAGAGAGAGAGAGAGAGAGAGAGAGAGAGAGAGAGAGAGAGAGAGAGAGAGAGAGAGAGAGAGAGAGUGUUUAACCAAAAGUUCUGGACUUGGAUCUCUCACCACUUUCCUGGAGUUGGGUCUACUUUUUGCAUUUUCCAGAUCAUUCUUGCCAGACUUUUGUCGUGCUCUGGCGCCCUACCUGUCAGCCAAAAGGCUAUCAUCUCCAUUUUACUAAACCUAAUAGUAAUUACCAUGCCUGAUCCAUUGGCCUAUUAGAACUGUAUUACAAAUUUGAUCACUUCAUUGUAUAGUCUCCGGAUACCAUCCCCCUUUUAAAACGUCUCAUACAUUCCAUCUCAACCUUAGUUUCCUCUCCUUACACUCCUCCCACCCACCCUGAGCAUCAAUCACCUCCCGCCACUUCUUCCAUCACCCUCUCACCUCCAUGUACCCCAGAUCCAACCCUUAUUUCCCUUCAGAAAAGAAGAGGCCUGCCUCCCUCCCAACGGUAUCACCCGAAGACACCAUAACAAGGUACAAUAAGACUAUGCACAAACCCUCGUUUAAGGCUGGCAAGGCAACUCAGUAGGAGGAAACAGGUCCCAAGAACAGGUAGAAGAGCAGAGACACCCAGAGAACCUAAGUCAGACCCAUGCAGGCUCUGUAACUGUUGCUUCAGUCUUAAUAGUCCUGCUUAGUUGAUUCUGUGGGCCAUGUUCUUUCUCUUGGUGCUCUUGAACCCUCUGGCUUCCUCUGUGGGGUUCCCAGAGCUCCACUUGAUGCUUGGCUGUCUGUGUUUCUGCUCUAUCAGUUGCUGGUUGAAGUCUCUCUGGUGAUUGGACACCCACUUGAGUCCUUUUCUUCUUCCUACUUCCUAACUUGGGAAUGCUCCGUGGAGGAGUUCACUUUCCCUCUUGCUAAAUUUGCACAGCCCACCUCUAUGAAUUCUAGUUAAUGUAGGCCCUCCUCCCAGUGCACUAUACUCGUCUAGGACGCAGUUGCUCAGAGCAUGUAGGUUAAGUCCUGUGGAAGAAACUCUUCUUAUAUAGCCUUGUUGGGGCUGCUAGGUACAGUACUCAUCUUAAAAGGAGGCACUAUUUCUGACCAGAGUGUUAAAAGAAACAACUCCCUGGCCUUCAGAUAGACACAUAUCUGUCCGUGGUGGGCUCAAGUUUCAAAUGCUAGCUUUCUGCUUAGGAUUCCUCACUUUUCUAUUGAUACUUCAUUUCUCUUUCUUAAAUAUGAAAAAAAUUGGGCUGGAGAGAUGGCUCAGCAGUUAAGAGCACCCAACUACUUUUCCAGAGGUCCUGAGUUCAAUUCCCAGCAACCACAUGGUGGCUCACAACCAUCUGUAAAGAGAUCCGGUUCCCUCUUCUGGAGUAUCUGAAGACAGCUACAGUGUACUUAUAUAUAAUAAAUGAAUACAUCUUUAAAAAAAUAUGAAAAAAAUUGCGACAGGGUCUCAUUGUUACCCUGGCUGACUUGGAAUUCCAUAUGUAGAUGAGGUUCUGAACUCAACAGACAUUCUCUACCUCUGAGCUCCUGGGAUAAGACAUACUGCACCAUGGUUUUUGAGAUAUGGUUUCUCUUAUGCCUCGGUGUCCCAAGUGCCUGGAUUACAGCUCUUAAUGUCAAACCCGAAUAGCCAGAUAUCUAGUUAGAUAACCUCAAACUCACUAUGCAGCUCAGGCUGGCAUCAAUGAUGCUGUGAUCUUCUUCUCAUAGCUUCCCUAUUGCUGGAAUUAUACAUGUACCUCUCUGUCCACUGAAACUUACUUGUGAUCUGUCAAAAACUUGUUUCUCUGGAAGUUUGUUCUGUUCUUUGUGGUAAUGCUAUGUGGACCAUAACAUGAUGCCGUCUUACUGACUACAUUUACAAUUCUGCUUCCAAAUAAAGCCACAUUCAC
rnacentral:tRNA from 1 species